rnacentral:sRNA from 1 species
GGCUAGUCCACUUUUGUAUUACCUCAAUGGUUUGUGAUACGUGCGACAGAAUAGACACUCGAGGGCAUUGAUUCAAACUGGAUUUAUUACUGUAAGCUGCACUUGUCUACGGUUGAUUGGAAUGAGGUCUAGAUUUAGGAACCUACAUCAUGAUGUACUAUUGCUGUGGUGUAUAAUUUUGUCAGUGACAGGCCUACAGGUGCAAACUACUACAUGGAACAUAGCAGUGGACGCUCCUUUAGGCACACUAGUUGGUGCGGUGGAGGCUAAUU